UACGGAGGGUGCAAGCGUUAAUCGGAAUUACUGGGCGUAAAGCGCGCGUAGGUGGUUUGUUAAGUUGAAUGUGAAAUCCCCGGGCUUAACCUGGGAACUGCGUUUGAAACUACAAGGCUAGAGUGUGGCAGAGGGGGGUGGAAUUCCACGUGUAGCAGUGAAAUGCGUAGAGAUGUGGAGGAACACCGAUGGCGAAGGCAGCCCCCUGGGUUAACACUGACGCUCAGGCACGAAAGCGUGGGGAGCAAACAGG
rnacentral:rRNA from 1 species